rnacentral:lncRNA from 1 species
UUUAACAUGUUUAACCCCGCCGCAUUUUUGCGCCUGUCCCAAGUCAGGAGCCUCUGGCCUUUGUUAGUCUUGUAUUAUUUUAAUUUUAGUUUCUUGUGUACAAUUUAGAAAUUAGUAUGGCGUUCAUUAUCACUGAACUAGUAUAUAUUUGUUUAGGGGCCAGUUGAAGGACGCCUCCGGGUGCGGGAAUUUCUCGCUACAUUGAAGACCUGUUGGUGACCUUCUGCUGUUGUUUUUUUCUAUGGUCGGGUUGUUGUCUCUUUGGCACAUUCCCCAUUUCCAUUCUCAAUUUUAUUUGAGAGUAAAUUUUGGGGGAACUUUGCGACCUAAUUUAUUGUAGGAAGGCGUCCCAGAAAAAAAUAAUUAUAGUCUUGCCAGCCGUCAUAAUUAUUAGGACUAAAAUGUUCCACGUAAAAUUUUGAUGUUAUAAUAAUAAAUAUCUGAUGCCACAAUGGAAAAGGAAUUGUUGUA